CAAAUCCUGGUGAUGGCCUGCCUUGUUUGAUGUCUCGCUGUCCCUGUCCAAGGUGAAGAAGAGCGCUGCAGGCUAGUGACAUCGGACAGAAGUUUUAUUAGGUCAGAGGUCAUCAUCCGAUGUCUCAUUGACCGUCCGGGAAAAGAUGCAAGUGCCUUGAUGAAGGACUUUGAGAGUUGAGGAGCUCCGCAAGUGGCUGCGGGGGAAGCCUGUGCCAACCUGCGGG